rnacentral:rRNA from 1 species
CGAGACAGUUUGGUCCCUAUCUGCCGUGGGCGUCGAAAUUUGAGAGGAGUUGACCCUAGUACGAGAGGACCGGGUUGAACGUACCUCUGGUGUACCUGUCGUCGUGCCAACGGCGCAGCAGGGUAGCUAUGUACGGACGGGAUAACCGCUGAAAGCAUCUAAGCGGGAAGCCUCCCUCGAGAUAAGAUUUCUUAGAGCGGUCGAAGACCACGACCUUGAUAGAUCGGAUGUAGAAGCGCGGUAACGUGUGGAGCUAACCGAUACUAAUUGCUCUAUUCGCACUUGAUGAGUCCCA